UGGGGAAUCUUGCGCAAUGCGCGAAAGCGUGACGCAGCAACGCCGCGUGGGGGAAGAAGGCCUUCGGGUCGUAAACCCCUUUCAGGAGGGACGAAGCCCUGGGAGUGAAUAGCUUUCCGGGGUGACGGUACCUCAAUAAGAAGCCCCGGCUAACUACGUGCCAGCAGCCGCGGUAAUACGUAGGGGGCUAGCGUUGUCCGGAAUCAUUGGGCGUAAAGCGCGCGUAGGCGGUCAGGUAAGUCCGGUGUGAAAGUCAUAGGCUCAACCUAUGAAUGCCGCUGGAAACUGCCUGACUUGAGUCCGGAAGGGGCGAGUGGAAUUCCUGGUGUAGCGGUGAAAUGCGCAGAUAUCAGGAGGAACACCAAUGGCGAAGGCAGCUCGCUGGAACGGUACUGACGCUGAGGCGCGAAAGCGUGGGGAGCAAACAG
rnacentral:rRNA from 1 species